UUAUUAUUGCUUUGAUGACACAUUUCUCUGAAAAUCUUGUUUGGUAUAGUCAUGUUAGUUAUUGCAGGAGAGUAAACGAUGUGUCAGGUAGUUAUAAAGGUUCCAGAUUUAAGCCCAGAAAGUACUGUAAUGCUUAUAUAUAACAAUGCUGCAAGAACAAGUUAACAUAUUUUCUGAGUUUCACAAUUAGAGUAAUGUAUCUAAAUAUUUUUAAAUAAUAAAAUCUUCAAAACAAGCAAAUAGAAUCUGUACAUUUACUUAUAUGCCAAUGAAGGUCGUUUACUUGUUAUAAGGGUCUAUUUCUAUUGGGUGUUUGGGACUGAAUGCAAUGUAUGAAUUUGUUUGACUCCGCUGAAAUUUCUUGACCCAUGGGCUUACAGGCACAAAUGUCCUGCCUGUUACAAGCAAUAUAAGAAGAAAGAACAUCUCAUUGAGCACAAGAAGGUUGCUUUCCACUCAGCUCAUGAUCCUAUUUGUGGAGUGUGCAGAAAGCCCUGCAAAUCUUUUGAGUCAUUGAGGGGUCAUCUUACUGAACAAAUGGAGGACUCUAAGAUUUCAAACCAUUGAAUUGCUCUCUAUUUUUCAUCAGCGUCAGAAUCUUUCUUAUGCACUACUUUUGGAUCAAGGUGUCAAGUGGACUGAAGAUUGGUCCUUUGGUACUUGUUGGGAGUUGCACAUCAAGGAUUCCAGGAUUUUGAAUGAUGAAGAUGUAGAUAUAGAGGAAACGGUUCACACUCCAAUAUCCAAAUCCCAGAAGCACCAUUCAGAUUCGUUCUACUUAACGCAACAAACAAAUGGGAGCAUUCCUUCUACUGCAGUAUGUGUUAGCUUGUGAAGUUUCACAACAAGCUUGGAGGUGAUGCAAAUAAGAAUAUAGUACACAAGAUACUUGAUAAAAUGGCAUGUGAAGAUUUUGUUGAAACGAAGAUACUAUAUCAGCUUUCGAUUCAUAUGUAGCUAGUUAGGAAU